AGCGAACGCUGGCGGCAGGCCUAACACAUGCAAGUCGAACGAACCUUUCGGGGUUAGUGGCGGACGGGUGAGUAACACGUGGGAACGUGCCUUUAGGUUCGGAAUAACUCAGGGAAACUUGUGCUAAUACCGAAUGUGCCCUUCGGGGGAAAGAUUUAUCGCCUUUAGAGCGGCCCGCGUCUGAUUAGCUAGUUGGUUGAGGUAAUGGCUCACCAAGGCGACGAUCAGUAGCUGGUCUGAGAGGAUGAUCAGCCACAUUGGGACUGAGACACGGCCCAAACUCCUACGGGAGGCAGCAGUGGGCAAUCUUGCGCAAUGGGCGAAAGCCUGACGCAGCCAUGCCGCGUGAAUGAUGAAGGUCUUAGGAUUGUAAAAUUCUUUCACCGGGGACGAUAAUGACGGUACCCGGAGAAGAAGCCCCGGCUAACUUCGUG
rnacentral:rRNA from 1 species